rnacentral:lncRNA from 10 species
CUGGGAGUAGAGGCGCCCGCCACCACACCUGGCUAACUUUUUGUAUUUUUAGUGGAGAGGGAGUUUCACCGUUUUAGACAGGAUGGUCUCGAUCUCCUGACCUCCUGAUCCACCCGCCUCUGCCUGCCAAAGUGCUGGGAUUACAGACGUGAGCCACCGCGCCCGGCUGUUUUCUUUUUUUUAACAGUAGGAAAACACAAGCGUGAAGCCUCCAUUUGGGAAGCCUGCAGAAGCCCCAAUCCAAUCACAGCACUGCCAGAGGAUCUUAGAAGUUGAAUAUCAAUUUAAUAACACAUCCUGUUUGAACCAUCUGUCAAUGGCUACUUCAUACUUUAGAUGCUCCAAGAGGAAAAAGUCAUUUCAGAAUUGUAUCCAUAACCCAGUUUCAUUGAAGAUGGAGUCUUCCUUCAGAUUUUCUACAUAGACAAUUAUACCUCUGUGAACAAAGACAGUUUAUUUCUUCCUUCCCACACCCUGCCACACUUCCUCCUGCUCCAGCAAUGUAAAACGUGCCUGCUUCCCCUUCACCUUCCACGUGACUGCAAGUUACCUGAUGCCUCUUUCGCCAGCUUUCUGUACAGCCUGCAGAACCAUGAGGAAUCACACCCCUUUUCUUUACAAAUUACCCAGUCUCAGACAUUUCUUUAUAGCAAUGCAAGAAUGGACUAAUACAGUAUCUGUGUAAAAUGGAGAUGUUUCCUAAGAAAGAAUAAACUCCUUUUGGUAUAAGUUAUGUGACUACAAGCAUACUUGGAUAUCUUAAUAUUUAAUCUGGGCCAGACAUACCUUGAUGUGGCAAGAAAGUAGCUGGAGAACUGUGUUGGUAGUCCUGGGGCUCUUCCUGCUUCUAUUGUUACCCAA